CGCUGCCUCCAGCUCGAUCGGACUCCGCCUUCGCCGCUGCCAGAUCCGCCUCUGGUCGUCGCUGCUACGUCCGUCGUCGCCGCUGCCUCCGCCUCUGGUCGCCGCAGCAGCAGCCGCCUCCAGCUCGAUCGGGCUUCGCCUCCGUCGCUUCCAGAUCCGCCUCCGCCUUCAUCGCUGCCAGAUCCGCCUCAAAGGUAUAUAUAUUGUGUGUAUAUGUAUUCUGUGUGUAUGUAUAUUCUGUGUGUGUAUAUAUUUUGUGUGUGUAUAUGUUAACAGUUGGACUUUGAGUUGUAUGUGGUUCAGUUUUUUAAUACACAAAUUUUACUACAAAUAUUAUAAAUAAAAGUAAUAACAUCUCAAAUAUAUAUAAUCGCUAUCAAAAUUGUCCCAGACAUCUAUACUUAGUUUAGUUUCAGCAAUGGUGUGCAUAUCGUAUGGCCAUAAAUCCACAAAAUGGUAGUUUUCUUGAGUUUUCAGCAAUGGUGUGCAUAUCAUAUAUAUGCCUUUGUCAAUUAAAAAAUUUACUUGAAAGAAAGAUGUUUUAAAGAGUAUAUCCAUAGAUUAUUUAAGGGUAACACCGUCACAAAAUUGUGACAUGGCUUUAGAAGUGGGAGAAUCAAAUUGGUGUGUUCUCCCUUUCUCCAAACCUGCCAGUUAAAUCUUUUGAGUUUCUAUCAGUUAAAAUCUUUUUAAUUAAUAUCAACCGCAAGACUUCACCAAUUUUCCAAACCUAGAAUUGAAUAAUUUACAAUCCUUGGACUUAUUACUGUUUUCAUGCCCAACUGCUUUCAUUUUGUUGUAUUUCCUGUAUGCUAAACAGUACUUAUAAUCCUUGGGUGGGUUAUUUGUUAUAAAUACAUUCAAUAUUUUAUUUCCUAUCUAAUACAUAGAGCAUUUUCUCAAGUAUAUUGAUGUUAGCAAGGAAGUAGGUACAUUAGUAAUCCUUCCAGAUAAAACUAUUGAGCACAGCUACAAAAGGUAUCAACAUUUGCUUGCUUUGGGCGGUUUAGUUGCUUGCAACAUGGGUUGCCUGUUUUUGUUUUUGUUUUUGCUUUUUUUCCCAACUGAAAUCACUUGCAGCAGAAUUGGGCGUGGAAGUUGAUGUUUUCUCUAGAUGAAUGUUGCAUUUUUGCUAUAGUUUUGGUGUACUCUGUUGGAGAUUCUGCAGAAGGUUCUUGGAAAAUAUUUCCCCUGGGUUGCUGAGUUGUUAGUUGGCUAACUUUCAAACGCUACAAUAGGAGGCAUCAUCACACCAUUGAAGGUAAGUUGCCAUUAUCGUCGAGCUCAUUGGUAGAAUAGAUACAAGAAGCUAUUAAGACAGCUAUGAAAUCCUUUCACAAUCACUUGUCAACCAUUCAAGGUAGAUUGCCUCUCCCGCCGUCGUCUUCAUCAUCACCACCCUUAGAUCUUUCGGAUUAUUAAGAGGAUUCGUUAUUUGUAUGGAUGAUAGAAUUUAUUAUGUAUUUUACUAUUUAUGAAUGUGUAAUUAGUAUAGAUAGAUUUUACAAUGUAUUUUUAAUAUUUAUGGAUGAUGUGUAUUACUUUAUGGAUUUAUUGUAUUGUAUGAAUGAUUUUUUUUAGUUCGUA